AACGAACGCUGGCGGCAUGCCUAACACAUGCAAGUCGAACGAAGUCUUCGGACUUAGUGGCGCACGGGUGCGUAACGCGUGGGAAUCUGCCCUUGGGUGCGGAAUAACUUCUCGAAAGGGAUGCUAAUACCGCAUAAUGUCGUAAGACCAAAGAUUUAUCGCCCAAGGAUGAGCCCGCGUAAGAUUAGCUAGUUGGUGGGGUAAAAGCCUACCAAGGCGACGAUCUUUAGCUGGUCUGAGAGGAUGAUCAGCCACACUGGGACUGAGACACGGCCCAGACUCCUACGGGAGGCAGCAGUGGGAAUAUUGGACAAUGGGCGAAAGCCUGAUCCAGCAAUGCCGCGUGAGUGAUGAAGGCCCUAGGGUUGUAAAGCUCUUUUACCCGUAGAUGAUAAUGACAGUAUCGGGAGAAUAAGCUCCGGCUAACUCCGUGCCAGCAGCCGCGGUAAU
rnacentral:rRNA from 1 species